AAGAGGAAAAGCUCAACAGAGCCAAAGCAUGGAUAAUCAAAUGGGGCAUUGGUUUCACAGUCGUGAUAGUACUUCUCUGGCCUAUUCUUACACUUCCUGUGGGGCAAUUUAGCAAGGGAUACUUCACAUUCUGGGCUGUAAUAGCUAUUGUAUGGGGUACAGUAGGAUCAGCAGUUAUUAUUGCUUUACCAUUGAUGGAAAGCUGGGGAACAAUCCAAAUUGUGCUUAAUGGCAUGUUUACAAAUGACAGAGUUAUGGAAAAAUUGGAAGACUUAAACUCCAAGCUGAAUGCAUUUAUUAUAGCAAUACCUGAAGUAGAGAGGGUGUAUUUACUUGAGAAAGAAAGGAGCAAGAGAAAGGAAGCAUCCGAAUCCGAUCAGAUUGCUGCUUCACCAAGUCAUUGAAUUCCCAGAGAAAACAAGUCGAUCAGUGUGUAUUUUAAGUCCAAAAUAAGACAGAGGUGCUUUAUACAUACUGUCACUUUCUGCAAACUAAUGUGACUACAAUGAUUGUAUAAAGUACCAUGACUUGGCUUCAUGCCCCGAACAUAGUGUGGUUUUGCUUUUGAAAGUACAUCAUUGUCUUGUUUGAA